UUGAAUGUUAAAAUUAUGGCAAGGUUUUUUGUGAGGUCCUCAACAUACUUAUUCCACAUUUAUACAGAGGAAUCAUGGUUCUUGACGUCUAAGUAAUUUUGAAAGAAAGAGCAGAGGACGGACUCACCCUCCCAGAUAAAACCAGUGUGGAACUGGUGUAGGAGCAGUCCAAUAGACCUAUGGAAAAGAACAGAGUCGGCAACACCUCUGAGUCUAUAUGAGAACCUGCCAUGGGAUCAAUGUGGCACCAUAAAUCAGUGGGCAAAGGAUGAGUGACUCCCAAUCCACUAACUGGUAGUGGGGAAAUGGAUCAUUAUAUAAAGAAGAAUAGAUUGGUUCACUAUCUCAAGCACAUACAAAGGAGAAAUCCAGCGCAGAAAUAAAAUUACAAAGCUAAUAGAAGAAGAUACUGGAAGCGUUAAAGAAGAUCCUCAAAAUGCAAACCAGAGGUUGAAAAUUUAAUAGAUCUGACUACACUUAAAAAAAUUAACAUCUAUUAAAAGACAGACACAAUAAGCCAAAUCUGCAGAAAGGUGAGAGAAUGAGAAAAGAUUUAUAAUAUCUAAAAUUUAUAAGUGAUUAAUAUCUAGAAUAUGCCAGGAAGCCUCAGUAUCCCCAGUUUUAAAAUGGAGAUAACAAUAAUAGAAAGUGAAGUGCUCAGCUCAGAGCCUGGCAUAGAGUUAAUGCUUACUGUUUGCUAUUGCUAGUUGAUCUGUUCUUACCCUCUGUGACAAAAUACAUUUUGUGUUGAGCCAUGAUAUGUGGACCCUGAACUUCCAGUUUCUGCAUGGAUUUACGUGGCUAGCUUAUGGAGUUACAGAGAAAUGUGUGUGCAGAUAUCUAGCCAGUCUCAAUCACCACAAAUCCUGUUUGAUGAAUGUCCCCGGAUAAGCCAAUGGUUAAAAGGAAAAGUGGAGAUUAUAUUAGUGGCAGCUUCCAUGACGCAGAGGUGAGCAAAAUGCUGUGUGUAUCACUGUAGCUAUGGAACCAACUCCCAAGGACACCUGCCAGGUGAUGAUAUGAGCCAAGAAGAGCAUGCUUCAUGGCUUGGGGUGUGAAUCUUGUGACUGUCAUAUCCCGUCCUGCCUGAGGCUGGGGCUCAAGGGUGCUGUGUCCAGAGGACAGAGAGAGUAGGUGACGCAGCUCCCCACUCCUUAGCUCUUUGUCUAGGUGUCAGGUAUGACUGUUGUGGGGGGGGAGGGCCAAAUGGACCAGCCCUUUCCUGCUGAGUUUCCUGGGGACUUCUGUACCCAGGGGCAGGUUGACAACAGAGAGAUGGCUUUGCGCACAACCAACACAACCUGCUCUCUGAAAGAAGAGCUUUGUCUUUUUCUACUUUAUGACCUCAGCUUUGGGGAAAGCUUUGGCUCCCCAAAUGUGGCCUGAAAACAUGGAUGAUGACGCAGGUCAGAGGCAGUGAGUGGCAGUCAGUGGCAGUGACCUGAGCUGAGUUCCCUCCUUGGGCUUGGGGGAUGGAUAAAGUAAGUUGUCCAGGGUCGUCCUGCUGAUAGAGAAGGAAGGGAAACUAAUGAUAACUCUGUGCCAGGCACGGUUACACACUCUGUCCCCUUCAAUCCCCUGCAAACCUGCGAAAUGAACAUUCUCAUCCCAAUUUUACAGAUGUGAAAACUGCAGCUCAGACAGGAAAAUUUGCCCCAAGUUACCCAGCUGGUAAGUGACCCGCUGGAAUUUGAACUCUAGGUCUGUUUGACUCGAAGACCCAUAGGCGAUUAUUUCGUUGGUUUUCUUUUUCACUGUUCCACUCUCUAUCUGCGGACUCGGAGCGGAGGUGGAUGGAUCUAUGGCUUGGUGGACUCCAGGUAAGGUCCAUCCGUGUCUGAUCUUGGCAGUUCACUUUGGAAAGCAAAUUACAUUUUCCAGUGCUGCAUCUGAGCACAUGAUCCUGUGGUCAGCGGGUUUUAGGUGUGGCUUUGAUUUCUCAGCAGAAACUAUGUUCUUGUGAAAUACUGACAUCCUUACAGUGUUGUGCUUUGCUUGUCAUUCAGAGAAGCCUGCACUUUCAGGAGACACCCUAUACACUGUAGAUGGAUUCCCUGGCAAGGAAGGCAACCAGGCAGGGCUUCCAAGACAGAAAGAGCUUGCUCCUAAGUGGAAUUGCAUUACUCUGUGCUUCUGGGAUCUGACAGGUGCUUUGAAGAUCUGGCUUUAUUAGCCGCUAACAGAGACACCUCUUGUCCAAACAUCUGCAACUGACUUUUUUUCAUGCUUGAGAGAUCACAGGUGUUUUUGUACCAGUGCUAUUGGAGGUCAUCAAGAUCGCCAUAGCCGCUAAUCCUAUUCACAAGGGCUCCAACCUCAUGACCUCAUCACCUCCCAAGUCCUGCCUCCUGACACCAGCUCACAGGUUGGGCCUCAGCAUAUGAAAUUUGGGUGACCCAUUCAGUCCACAGCAUCUCUGAUCUGUCAUUUACCAAGAGGACUAUGUUACGUUCUCCCACCAUGCUUAUAGAUUGUUGAAUAAAUCUUGUAAUUCUGUCAAGUUUUAAACUUACAUAUUAUAAAGCAGUGGAAUUAAAUGAAAAGAUUUUUGACUUUUUAAAAGAAAAAAACAAAAGAUUGCCAUAGCUACAUAUUCUUGCCCCUGUCUCUAAGGCCUGUGGCAAUAAGUAAUAAUGAUAAUAAUCAUGGUAGUGAUAAUUACAAACCAUUUACUGUGUAUUUGCUAUGUGUAUUCAUUAAUGUAGUAAGCUUAUUUUAUGUUCACAACAAGUCUCUGAAGUAUGUGUUAUUUAAGAUUGUUUAGCUGCAGGUAACAGAAAUUCAACUUCAAUGGCUUAACCAAAUGUGGGAUUUAUUUUUCUCAUGGAAUAAGAAGUCUAGCAGUACAUACUUCAGGGUGAGUAUGGGGGCCCCAUGAUGCUAUCAAGAACCCAGGCUCCUUCUCUGGGAGUUUUCUUCGUCAUGUUUCAACAUGGCUGUUCUAAUUCAUGCAUCACAACUGAUUUUUAGGCAGAAAGAAGGAAGAAGGGCAAAAGGUAGGUGGCAAAAACUAAAACAGUGAAUGCAAGCUGAAUAUGGCCCCUCUAACAAGCUUUCUCAGAAACUCUAGCUGGUACCUCUGGUUUCACCUCAUUGUCCAGAACUGUGUUGCAUGCCCACACCUAGCUGCAAGGGAGUCUGGUAAUCCAAGAAUGUUUAAGUGAGCCCCUUGAUUAGAAAGGAAGAAAGGAGCAUGGCUAUUGGCUAGGUGACUAGCAGUGCCUAGCUCAUGUAGUUAAUAUUUGUUCAAAUUUACAAACUAGGAAAAUGAAAUUAGAGAAGUUAAGUGUUUGCUAAAUGUCCCCUAGCUAGGGAGUGACAGAGUUCAGACCUGAAUCCAUGUAUGUCUGACUCUGAAACCACAUUCCUAAAAGUUCUGCUAGAAUUUGUUCCUGAUGCUUGAGGGUGUUUGGGCUGGAGAACAGAGGACUUUAGGAGGCUCUCUUAUGGAAUAGAAAGGAGGAUUGAUUUGUUGGUUUCUUGAGAAUAGUGUGAAGAUCAACAUAUGAAAGAUGUGGAAAGGCAGAUUGUGGUACAAGGUAAGGAAAUGAUUUCUAACAAUUAGUAAUUAAUUGUUCUAUGGGCUGGGCAGCAAACUCUAUUACCAGAAACAUUUGCAUAGAGAUUAAACUACCCAUAAGAGGAGAUUCCCUGAACUGAUUGGGAGUUCAGAUCUUUCUUGAGUUCAAGAUCCUGGAUCUGGGAAACAUAAGUGGCUGAGACAGAACAAUCGUGAUUAGAGGAAGGCUUUUUGGAUUGAGCAUAGAGGCCUCCUGAUUUGUCAGAGCUAGAGUGACCAUACAAUUAUUUCAUGGUUCAAAUCGGGGCAUUUUUUAGAGUGAAAGUGAGAUUCAUUAGUACUCACGUUGAGAUAAAAGGGGAAUAGAGGAUCAUUACAGACCAAGUGGAACUUGUGGCUACGCUCACAGAGGCUUUUGAUGAAUAAAAGGACGAGGAGGAUUGGAUUUCAUAGGCAGUGGGAGCUAGGGGAAUGGUCAAAAGGACAGACACCCACAAGCCAAAUCCCCCCACUUCUGUAGGCUGGACCUUUUGAUAAGCUCUUCUUCGUCCAUGAUGAACUUUCAUGAUAAGUGUUGAAAUCGAUGGGCAGGGACUAUGUGUGACUACUGAGAACAUGUGCCUGACACAGACCCUUGUGCCCUGAGUCUCCUCUAGCAUGACUCAUUUUUAAGAGACAUUGAGCUUGGAUGAUGUUGUGUUCCUUAUUGAGUCAUGAAUCUGGCUCAUUCUAGACUGGGAAGGAAACUGGAUUUCACAUAUCCUGAAAUCCUUCUCAGCUUUUAAAAACUGCUUUUCUGGUUUGCUCAGUGACCUUGGGCAAGUCACAACCUCUCUCUAUGCUUUGGCUUUUCCAUUAGUGGAAAUAAAAUGGAAAUAAUAGUUACACAAGAGAAAAAAAUGAUUCAAGAUCUUCCAAUGAAAGAUGCCACAUGAAACCAAGUGAAAUUAUUAUUUUUAUGACAGUUGUUAGCUGAACUGCUUUUUGUCCCAUCCCCUCUCAUUAGGCUACAGGGCAUGGAAUAAACACAGGUUUGGCCAGUGGCUGGUAUUUGAUGAUGUUGGCACCGGAGAUGAAGGGAAGGAAUUUCUGUCUGGCUUGUGUUUCACUAUUAACCUCCUCGAGCCUGGAUCUCAGUGUCUGUUAGGGUGGAAUCUCAGUUGGCGGUUUCACGGCAGAGAUGGCCUAUUCAGGAAACCUUUUAAUAAUGAUGCUAUUAAAAUAUUGUCUUUAUUCCUUCCUUAAAUCCUUUAUUCAAUAAACACUGAUUAAGUGUCUCUGGGUGCCAGGUUCUGUUUCCCAAGCAUAUAGCAAGAUGCAUAAUGACAAACAUUAAGCUCUCUGAUGUUUGCUGAAUCAAGAAAUUUGUCAGAGAUGUAAGAUUUGGAGAGCUGGUCUUCUCCUGCGAUCUUGCCUCUCUCCUAUCUAUCCUGACACAUGGGAGACAUUUCUAAGAGCAAAACUUCCCCUAUUACCCAUUUCUUAGAGAAUCAAGACCAAAUGUCUUAAUAUGGCACAGAAGAGCCUUCAGCCUUUGGUCCCUGCUUGCCUUUCUGUUUCAUGUCUCACUGAGCCUCUUUUAGGAUCCCUGAGUUCCAGCAAUUGGGAAUUUCUUACAGGGCCUUGAAUAUAUGGCAAAUAUUUUAGGUUUUGUAGGUCCUGUGGUCUCUGUUGCCACUCCUGGUGCUGCUGUUGUAGCAGGAAAGCAGCUAUAGACAAAAUGUAAAUGAAUGGGCAUGGCUGUGUUCAAGUACAACCUUAUUUACAAAGACAGAUGGUGGGCUAGAGACCUCUUCCUCCCCCAUUCAUCUGGCCAUUGUCCACUCAAUUGUCACCUCAAGUCUGAGGGCUUUCUCUGCCACUCUGGGUGGAACUGGUAACUCACUACACUCUAUUCCGUACAUACCACUUGCUUAUCUAUGUUUUCUCGCCUAACCUGAUUUAUUGAGCUUGAUUCCUUCAUUCAUUGAUUCACUGAUUUAACAAUAUUCAAUGACCACCCACUAUGGGACAGAGUUAAUGAUUUUCUAGUCUUUGUACAGCACCUAGCAGAAAGCGUAGCACAUAAAACAUGUUGAAUACAUGCUUAUUGAACAAAAGGAGAUAGAAAGCAAUAAAGAAGUCCAUCGUCAAAGAUAUAUUCAUGACUUUGGUGUAACCGCCCAAAGUGAUGAAUUGUCUUUAUUGAUUUUGAAACCUUUCCAUCGUGUGGAAGGGUUUGACCCGUGGUCGUGUUUGGAGUUUUCCUUCAAAGUUUCUGUCGCCUGGUCUGGAAUAGAUUGGUGGCUCCUACCUCAUUUCAUUUCUGAAGUCCCUGGGAUCCUGCUUUCUGGUGACCCCAAAUGGCAGGACCAAGAGUAACACACCAACUUCCAAACUCCCACGUUGGUAGGUGACUGACUCAUGUGAGUUUGAAGUUUCCCAACAAAGUGUCAACAUAGUGCAGUGAGUUUCUUAUUUUUACUUUUAUUUUUAUACAGAAUAUCUGUUUUUUCCAUUGCUUUUUGAGAGAGCAGGGCUAUCUGAGCAAAGGAGCUUAAACCACUCCCAGCAUGAGGACAUUGAAAUUGCUUCCUUGCAGAGUCUAAACCUAGUUUUUUUUCAUCCACAAUCUCUGGCUCUUUGAAAGUGAUCCUGAGGUAAAUGUAAAAAUGAAUCUCUGUGGUUACUUAUAUUACAGAAAUUAUUUCAUGGAUCCAUGGAGCCCCAAAAUAUUUAAAGUAGGGCUCAAGCUAUUUUCUUAAAUUUAUAACCCAUUCAAAAUGUAAGCAGAACAUUUAUUGAAUUGGUUGUCACCAAUCGAACCAAAAUGACUUUAUUCACUUUCAACCUGGUCAGAAGUAGAUUUUCAAUGGUUACCAGGAAGGUUAUGUGUUUGUGGUCAGAGGCAGAGAAAAGAAAAUGGUUACAGCUGGUUACAAAACAAACAGAAAACCUCCGCAUGGCUUCUCAUGUUACAAGAGCAAAUAAGAAAGGAAGCCAACCGAGGAUUGUAGCACAGAGUGUGUUGGGUAAACACCAGAGACACUGGAGAAUGUUCUGGGUCUCUUCACCUCGUUUUAAAUAUAAAAAGCCAGAGAAGGAGGUGGCAGCUGAACAGAGUACACGACUGUCGUUCAUGAACUCACCCGCACAGGUUACAGAAAAUCAAAUAAAUCAAAGUUCCAUUGUGACAGAGUCCUUUUCACGGAUGCAUCCAGAAUCUGCCUGAUUUAACAUUUUAACCUGACAUGGUGACUUUUGUGAGGGAACCACGGUAGGAAGGAAUGCUGUGCCUGUGUUUUGGAGGAGGAGAGGAGGGGGCAGGGUCAUAAACUGACCUUUGAUUAUAAAAGAAAAAUAAGGUAGUGUUGCUAAAUGACCAAAGCCACAAAAGUAAUAGUAAACACAGCAAGGGCAAAGUGGAGAACGGUUGGUGUCAGUGAGCUAACCCAUUGCAACACUCACGCAAUUUGCUGGCAAGUUCCUGAUUUAGUAAGUUGUCACAGUAUAUUUUGAAUGGAUUCAUAACAAUGUCUCUGUGCAUGUGUGUGUGCGUAGGUGAGUAAGACAUUGGCAAAUGAGUUUCAUAAAUAAAUGUGCUCCUUGCCUGAGGUGUUCAAGUUUAAAAUAAAAUUCUGUCUUCACUCGUUUCUGGCAUAAACAAAUACUUGACUUUUGGCAAUUCUCAUCAAAAGUUAAGUGUCUCCAUUUAACAAUGUUGAUCACAAUUAAAAUUCACAUAUCCUUUGACUCUGCAAUUCCACUCAGGCAUCGAUUUCUAGUUCUGUUCACCCAUAUGUGCAAAAAAAUGUUUGUGGAAGCAAAAGAUUAGAGACCACUUGUUUGUCUAUUAGUAGGGGGCUGGGUAAAAUUUGGGGACAUUCAUACAAUGGAAUACAACGCAGCUGUCAAACUGAAAGAGGUAAAUCUAACUAUGGGUUUGUGAUAAACUCCACAAUAUCCUGUUAAGUUUAGCUAUGGAGCAGAGGAGUAGGUAUAAGAAAAAGGGGGUGCAUAUAACCUUGUGUGUACAUAGAAUAUUUCUGGAAAGAUACCCCAGAAAUACAAUAGAAGGUGCCUCUGUGGAAAAGACUGGGAGACUGGGUUCCAGAAGUCGAUAGAAAUUUACUUUGCACUCCAACUAUUUUGCACUGUCUGAAAUUUUUUUUGGUCAAGUACCGAGAUCAUUUUUCAAAAAGAAUUCUAAUGGAAAUGUCCUUCUUCCCAAUUAAUUAAGGUUUGGCUGGUGGUGGUAUCAGUGCCCAAUGAAAAAGAAUGAAAUAUAUGAACUAAAAAUGGUUUAAAAACCUACAGAAAAAGGCAUCCUUCAGUUAAGUGUAUAUUUGGGAAGAGUAUUUCAGUAACUAAUGAAUAAUAAUGAGCAUUGAUUCGGGCUGCUAUUUUUAAGCUGACAGUUUGGAGUCCUCGAGAGCUGUACAGAAAGCCGGUGCCUCUCCCCGGGAAGUCAUGGCAAAGCCCUUUCAUGUAGAAGGGUCACCCUGACCUAGAGCCUGCAGCAUCAUUAGUCAAAGUCUUCUAACUUACCUCUAGUAUAUUCUAAUUCCGUAGCUCUGAAGGAGUCAUCAUUUUCUCGCUUUGCCUGUGGAUGACUGAAGAAUGCUUGGGAAGAUAAAUACCCCCUGAUUUAUUUACAUUAAAUACUAUCCUGCUCGCUCCCAGGAGCUGAUAAACUUGGUGGCCUUGAGAAACCAGUCACAUGCAACUUCCCUCUGGAGUUGCGCUCAUGUGGGGAAGAUGAUAAGCGCAGCAGCGUAGCCAGCACACAUUCUUUUGUGAGACCUGCCUUUGAAUCAGCACUCAGUGUUUUGGGGGAGCGUAUAUGACGGAAACGAACCCUGGCCAUGGUGAUGAGAGCAUGGAAUCUUAACCACUAGACCAUCAGGGCUGGCUGCUGGAUCCACACUGAACAUUUAACACAGAGUUUCCUGAAAUGUGCUCAUCAUUGGUGACAUGCAAGAUGAACUGAGUGUUAAGCAAACAUCUGAAAUUUUCAUCAGGUAUUUAUUUUCACAUGCGUUAGAAAAAUCUAGAGCUACCAUAUCAAACCCUUGUGUAUAUGGAUAUUCCUUCUUACCGGGAGGCUGCCUGUAAAAGUGAGUUGAUUUAAAGAUUAUCUAAAGGAAAAUAUCAAGUAAGUAGCCAGAAAUAGGGAUGUGGUUCAGGGAUGUGGCAAUGAUUCUGCAAGUGUUAUCUGAGUGGCCUGAGUUUGGGAAACGCAGAACAAGGCCAAUCUCUGGGAUGCAGAGAGGUUAAGUGAGUUGUUUGAGGUCAGGAAGCCAGCAGAGAACAUAGACCAGAACCUGGCCGCCUGACUGGUCCUCUGCCCCCAUAUCCUCCUUCAAUCACCAGUUCCUAUUUUGCAGAUGAGGAAACUGGAUAACAAGUCUUCUCUUUGGAGUUCAACAACUCACAGGAGAAUCUGACUGCAAAGUAGAAAGCACGGAGUUGGUCUCAAGAAAAACUCAAGUUAAUAUUUGUAGAGCACUUACUAUGCAUGCUUGUAUUACAAAGAUUUCAUACAUGCUAAUUUAUGUUAAUCCCCAAACCACCCUGUGAGAUGUGCUUAGCUAUUUCUACCAUCCCUCUUUUCAGGAGGAAAUUAAGGAACGAAGAUCGAAUAACUUCCUAAGACUAUAAUUUACAGAGCUGGGAUUUGAACCCAAACAGUCUAGCUCCAGAAUCUGUUCCCUUAACCAGCACACACACUCAUAAUAAGUGAAGAGGUGAAAGAGACAAACUGUCUUCCUGGUGAAAUUCGAAAGAAUCUGCUCAAACAAUUUGUUACUCCUCUGUGCCCUCCUGUUUCAAAUUCCACAAUUAGUCCCUUGUUCAUUUUAUGGAAGACAUUGUUUCUUUAAAACAUCACUUUCUUUUCUUUUUUCUGGUGAGGAAGAUUGGCCCUGAGCUAACAUCUGUGGCAAUCUUCCUCUAUUUGUAUGUGGUCUGUCUUGAUGAGCAGUGUGUUAUGUCGGCCCUGGGAUCCAAACCUGCGAACCCCUGCCACCAAAGGGGAGCUCACAAAGGUAACCACUACUCCACCACCAGCCCCCAAAUAGCACUUUUUAAUGUGCAGAAACUCCUGAGAGGAAUCAACGAUUACCAAAAGCAAUCUUUUUAUAAGAAUAAUUUCUUAGAUUACUACGAUAAGAACUGUAAAGAAAUAGUCCCACCCCCAAAGGAAGGAGAGGGAGUCAUGGGAGGUGAAUGGAGAGAGGGAUAAUUUUGGGAUACGGUGGGGCUGAGACAUGGCAGAGGAGGCCCAUGUGGGACUGGCCCAGUGUGCCACAGGGGGCCACCAGGUGUUGUGAAAGCCCUGCCUGGUGCCCAGUGCUUGGCACAGCCCCUGGCACAGAGCAGCUGCCCAAAAGCUUUGUGGAGUGAAUGGAAACCUGGAUGGAAGUGGGAGCCAAGCACGGAGGCAGACACAAGUACAGUGCUUGGAGGUGAGAGGGCGUCAAGCGAACACUCGACCUACUUUAUAACUUUGCUCCAGGUGGGCUGGAGGAGGACAGCACAGGGCCAGACUUCCGAUCAACAGGCACAGGACCUGGGAGCAAACCAGUCACAGCGUUCCUGAUGUAACUAGGACGACUUGCUUUGGGGAAAUCUGUUUCAUUUUUGUCACCUAUGGUAGCAGCCCCACUUCAGUCUUCUGGCCUAGACUUCCUUAGAUUAAAAGUCCUCAUUCUCCCCCCAUAGGGUGCCUCAGGGUAGGCCAAGGCCAUCUGGGGACCAGAGCCAGCCUCCUUUGUGCUGGGGCCAGAGGGGGAUCAGCCCCUGGCGGUUUUCUCCGCCUCACCAUCAGGUGCUGACAGCUGAGCUAUUCCUCGCACCCUUGGGGUAAAGAACAGCCGCAAACUAGGGCCGAGUGCAGAGCCUGACAAUUCUUCCCAAGGCUCCGGGGAGCAGCACCCUGGAGGGGCUGUUCGUGCGUUACAUAAGCUGUGUGUCAGCGGUCCUUACCGAUGCGCAGAGCCGCGUGCCUCUCGGAAUUGCGCAACUCUUACGCAGAAGCACUUGUUCAGUGUUGCAACAUGACUCCACAUCUUUAUCAAAAAUGUGAAACAUCCGCCCAGCACACACUUAGAAAACACUAAAGCUCUUCUCCACCAGGUGGUUAAGGCUGCUUGAUCCGGCUGACAGGAGAGAAGCGGCCGCCGGGGGAGGCGGGGGGCCGGACUUACUGUAGCUCUUGGCCGGGGAAGCUGAACACCCAGUACCUUGUACCCCAUUCGCCUUGGGCAGCGUGGACCUCUGAUAAAAUGUACUUUUUUUGUG